rnacentral:sRNA from 15 species
UUUGCGUGGAAAAUAAGUGGAAAGACACUAAAUAAAAAAGAGACAAGCACUUGCAGUAAUAACAAUACAGGUAAGUAGUAGACUGGAGUGGAGACGACGGAAAAACAGGUAAUAAAAGAGAUACUACACUGGAACAAAGACGAGACAAAACAGCUACAGGGAAGACUAGAAGCAUCGGCCGGCAUAGCAAAACACAAUGCUUGUAAAGACAUUGCGUUGCAUACCGGCCGACCCCGUCGUCCCCCCUGGUCGUCGAAAUUGGCGUCAUCCAGAGUCGUCAGAGGUAGCUGCAAUUAGCACCUCGUCGUCGUUGUGGCUGUGGCUGCCCUCUUGGAGAACCAGUGGCACUGGUCCGGCCACCAGCUGGGAGUCAGGAGUAGACGGCACACAUAUCACUGUGGCGACACGGGUCCGGCCGCCAAAGUGAAAUGGAUGUGAGUGUGUGUGUGCGUCGGUAAUUGUGGCCCUGAUGUAGAGCGAGUGGCACUGUUCCGGCCACCAGCUGUGGGCAAUGGUGGACAAUGACACACAUAACUCGAACGGCACAGGUCCGGCCGCCCAAGUGUAAUGGUUGUGUGUGUGUGUGUGUGUCUGAAUGGCUGGCGACCAUAGGGCACUCUGAAUGCCAUGGCACUGGAUCCGGCCACCAACUAAGGACGAUGGCGAUGGCAUAACUCGAACGGCACAGGUCCGGCCGCCCAAGUGUAG